AUUGAACGCUGGCGGCAGGCCUAACACAUGCAAGUCGAGCGAGCGGCGGACGGGUGAGUAAUGCCUAGGAAUCUGCCUGGUGGAGGGGGAUAACUACUGGAAACGGUAGCUAAUACCGCAUACCAUCGGAUGUGCCCAGAUGGGAUUAGCGAGUAGGUGGGGUAAAGGCUCACCUAGGCGACGAUCCCUAGCUGGUCUGAGAUGAUGACCAGCCACUCUGGAACUGAGACACGGUCCAGACUCCUACGGGAGGCAGCAGGGGGGAAUAUUGCACAAUGGGCGCAAGCCUGAUGCAGCCAUGCCGCGUGUAUGAAGAAGGCCUGCGGGUUGUAAAGUACUUUCAGCGGGGAGGCGUUACCCGCAGAAGAAGCACCGGCUAACUCCGUGCCAGCCGCCGCCGUAUUC
rnacentral:rRNA from 1 species